UACGGGAGGCAGCAGUGGGGAAUAUUGCACAAUGGGCGAAAGCCUGAUGCAGCUAUGCCGCGUGUAUGAAGAAGGCCUUAGGGUUGUAAAGUACUUUCAUCGGGGAGGAAAAACAAAACUAAUAAUUUUAUUUCUUGACGUUACCCGAAAAAGAAGCACCGGCUAACUCCGUGCCAGCAGCCGCGGUAAUACGGAGGGUGCUAGCGUUAAUCAGAAUUACUGGGCGUAAAGAGCACGUAGGUGGUUUUUUUAAGUCAGAUGUGAAAUCCCUGGGCUUAACCUGGAACUGCAUUUUGAAACUGAAAUACUAGAGUAUCGUAGAGGGAGGUAGAAUUCUAGGUGUAGCGGUGAAAUGCGUAGAUAUCUGGAGGAAUACCUGUGGCGAAAGCGGCCUCCUAAACGAAUACUGACACUGAGGUGCGAAAGCGUGGGGAGCAAACGAGGGAUUAGUACC
rnacentral:rRNA from 1 species